UCCCUAAUGGCUCAGAUGGUAAAGAAUUUGCCUGCAAUGCAGGAGACCCAGGUUCAAUCCCUGGAUCGGGAA
rnacentral:tRNA from 1 species